GGUCGGCUAAUCAAAUCUUUGGGUUAGCUCAGAAGAUUCAUUGAAUUUUAUUACUUUUUAUAUUCAUCUUCCUCUAAGACUGAGUUGGCUCUCCUCUUUACUGAGUUAGCUAAGCUCCUGACUGGGUUGGCUAAGUUGAUCACUAGGUCGACUAUGGUGUUUGUUCUGUAUUUUGAAGGUUUAUAUCUUUUCUAUCUUCUAAUACUCGGUCGGCUCAGUUUCAGACUGGAUUAACUCAAAUGCAUGCCAUAGAAAGUUUUAGAUAGCUUUUCUUGCUCGAACUUAUUUUUAGACUAGACUUAUA
rnacentral:lncRNA from 1 species